rnacentral:rRNA from 1 species
AUUGAACGCUGGCGGCAUGCUUUACACAUGCAAGUCGAACGGUAACAGGUUAAGCUGACGAGUGGCGAACGGGUGAGUAAUGCAUCGGAACGUGCCCGGUCGUGGGGGAUAACGCAGCGAAAGCUGCGCUAAUACCGCAUACGAUCUGAGGAUGAAAGCGGGGGACCGUAAGGCCUCGCGCGAUCGGAGCGGCCGAUGUCAGAUUAGGUAGUUGGUGGGGUAAAGGCUCACCAAGCCAACGAUCUGUAGCUGGUCUGAGAGGACGACCAGCCACACUGGGACUGAGACACGGCCCAGACUCCUACGAGAAGCAGCAGUGGGGAAUUUUGGACAAUGGGCGAAAGCCUGAUCCAGCAAUGCCGCGUGCAGGAAGAAGGCCUUCGGGUUGUAAACUGCUUUUGUACGGAGCGAAAAGGUCUCCUCUAAUACAGGGGGCUCAUGACGGUACCGUAAGAAUAAGCACCGGCUAACUACGUGCCAGCAGCCGCGGUAA